UCUCCAGGGCAGAUCUUCCGGGCGACUCGCACCCAUAAGAAAUUAGAAAAUGCUACAAUAAAACCCGAAAAACAGAAUAAAAAAAAAUAAAAAAAUGAGGGAAGUAGUUAAAUGAUGAAAGCUUCCCAGUCCGUCCGCCGUAAACACACACACACGUCCCUUCAGCGAGAAGUCCACGAGAGACAAGCGAAGUACCACAGAUCAUUCAAGGAAAGCCAUCUUCUACAUUAAAAAUGUCACUGCUGGUACAACACAAGGAAUCAGAUGGCAGUAGAGUGAGCAUCAGCCAGAGGCAAUAAUUCAGCUUCAGCAGCAAGAUGAGGUGAGCCCCCGUAUGGAUUGACUCCCCAGGAAGAGAAAACGAGUUCCUUUUGGUCGAGCUUUAGCUGUCCAGCGGUGGGCUCGAAUUUGGAAUAUCUUUCGACACAGAAGAUUUCAUGAUCGGCUCAAAGUCCAUAGCAGCAAGACAAGCUGAAAUCAUCCCCU